rnacentral:rRNA from 1 species
UACGUAGGGGGCAAGCGUUAUCCGGAUUUACUGGGUGUAAAGGGAGCGUAGACGGCUGUGCAAGUCUGAAGUGAAAGCCCGUGGCUCAACCGCGGAACUGCUUUGGAAACUGUAUAGCUUGAGUACUGGAGAGGCAGGCGGAAUUCCUAGUGUAGCGGUGAAAUGCGUAGAUAUUAGGAGGAACACCAGUGGCGAAGGCGGCCUGCUGGACAGAAACUGACGUUGAGGCUCGAAAGCGUGGGGAGCAAACA